rnacentral:rRNA from 1 species
AUUGAACGCUGGCGGCAGGCCUAACACAUGCAAGUCGAGCGGAUGAAGAGAGCUUGCUCUCUGAUUUAGCGGCGGACGGGUGAGUAAUGCCUAGGAAUCUGCCUGGUAGUGGGGGAUAACGUUCCGAAAGGAACGCUAAUACCGCGUACGUCCUACGGGAGAAAGCAGGGGACCUUCGGGCCUUGCGCUAUCAGAUGAGCCUAGGUCGGAUUAGCUAGUUGGUGAGGUAAUGGCUCACCAAGGCGACGAUCCGUAACUGGCCUGAGAGGAUGAGCAGUCACACUGGAACUGAGACACGGUCCAGACUCCUACGGGAGGCAGCAGUGGGGAAUAUUGGACAAUGGGCGAAAGCCUGAUCCAGCCAUGCCGCGUGUGUGAAGAAGGUCUUCGGAUUGUAAAGCACUUUAAGUUGGGAGGAAGGGCGUUUGGCUAUUAUCCAGGCGUUUUGACGUUACCAACAGAAUAAGCACCGGCUAACUUCGUGCCAGCAGCCGCGGUAAAAC